UCGGUGGCCGUUUCAGACGGCUUUCUUGGAAACAAACGGAAUAAGGAAGCAAAGGCGCGGGGCCUCCGAUUGUGAUCGCUGGUGGAUGUCCCAAAGGAAGCUUACUUUUGAUGAUGAAUGUCAGUUAUCUGAUAUCAAAGCAGUUCACAUCACUAAAAGGAAGACCACUAAAAUAAAAUAAAAACUAUGCACAAUUUGAACAACAGGAAAUCAAGUCAAGAGGUGCAGCUGUCUUUUCCAGGAAGACAGAGAUGGGUUGAGCAACUGCAGCAAUGAUGCUGUCACGGACAGAACUCUGAAAUAUAGCACCCAAAUCCUGCAGCUGCUUUUGACAAAAUCCCUGUCCUUUCUUAAUCUGAAAACAGCAAAUUCCACUGAGCCUUCUUCAAGCUGAGCUCAACUUCUAGACAAAUAUCAUCUAAUUUUGUCACUGUCUUUUUCUUGAAUGGUUUUUGACUCCUAGAGUAACCUAUGACUGGUAUUUCUGGGCGAUCAUCCUGACUUAUCCAGGUCCAACACUACUUAGCUUUUAGAACAGCCAGUAGCUAGGCAGACUCCUUUUUUUUAGUAAUUUUAAAACCAUUCUCAAGGUUGCAAAAAUGCAAAGAUUGUAUAAUACAUGAUGUUUGGGAUGGGGUUGUGCUCAUGCAGGAAGGACUGAUUUGUAAUAAGGGUAUACUCCUUGACUUGAGCUUUCAUUGGGUUUGCAGGUGGUGGCAAUGGUUUCCUAAGAUGAAUUUGGUUCCAAUCUUCCCAGCAUUCAGGAAGUUGGAAAAACAAAUCUUUUUCUACAUUUUAUUUUGUGAUUUAAGCUUGGUUUUACUUGGAUAAGCAUCUAUUUUAUUGUCAUGCUUUAUUCUCUCCAUCUUUGCUGCAAAAUGCUUUGAGUACUGGAGUUAAUGGAAUAGUAGGGUAUCAAUUCAAUAAGUAAUGUGGUAGCCACAUUUGCCUUAAACCUUUCACUAUUGCCAUCAGCCUAUGAAAUGAUAAAGAUUUAUGACAAAAUUCAAUUUUCACACUAAGAUAUGUGAUUUGGCUGAUUUCAGUACAGAGAGUUGCACCAAAUUAACUUAUUGUGGAUUAGUCAAUAUGAGCCCAAACAUGAAUACUCAUGUGUCUUUAAUUUAUAUCUUGGUACAAAAUUAUGGGUAUGAUUUCCUAAGAAUCCACAUACAGUUGCUUGGAAAUAAGAAUAUAGGAAUACCAAGGAAAGAUUUAACCCUUUCCUUCCCCUUCUAAAUUCUUAAUGAAAACAAUUGUAUAAAAGCACCAUUUGAAUUAAGAAAAAAAAUUCCAUUGGCAUCAAUUGAAAGUUUAUCCAGAAGCGUAAUUUCAGAAGAGUAAUUUUCAUGAUAGUUUCAGGAAGGAAUAUUAAAUUCCCUUUCUUGUCUGCUGAAAUCUUGAUAACUUGCUGCUAUUCCAAGCAAUCAUUUGCAUGUUAAAGGAUGUACAAAGAUUAAUUUAAUAAAUUAAUUGGGCUCCAUGUCAGAACUGCAAAUAGUUAAAUAUAUAAAUGCCAUUGUGGCAUUUAUUUACAGUCCAGCCUGCCAUAAAAAGGCAAAUAUAAAUUGUUACACAAAUAUUGAAGAAUAAUUACAAGAUUAAUUUUAUACAGCUUUUUGUAUUGAUUAUCCUAAAAAUCUCUUCCAAUACUGGAAUUGGAAUGAAGUAGAUGUACUUGUCUAUUCAACAAUAAUAUUCUUAACAAAUUCACCUUCUAGGAAACUGACAUAUAAAGGACCUCUAAGAGGCAAGAAAGUGAAAAAUGUUCACACCUCCCUCUUUCCUCUUGUUGCAAUCCUUUGGUGUAAUUUUUAUUUAAAACAGUUUAAGUAAAUGAGUUAGUAAAAGUACCAAUCCAUCUGAUAAUAUGAAAUACUAAACCAUACUGUUGAUACAUGGGGCCUAGGGAAACUGCCUAUUUUUUUUAAAAAAAAAACCUAAUUAAAUCUGCAUGUACAAGUACAACAUUUAAAUAAGUGGGUAUUGCAAUUUUAGAAAAAUAAAUUAGUAGACCUAGUCAGAGUUCUGUGACUCUGUUAUUUGGUCUUUGUCAGAUAAAUUUGACAGGGUUGUUACAUCGGUCUCUGUAACACAUACUUGCACUACUAAACUUUAUGCCAGCAAGAAAAUUAGAAGCUAAAAAUAAAGCAUGAAAAGUGUUGUGACCUUUUUGAAGGGAAAAAAGGAAUGAAUGCAUGAAAGCCAAUUGCCAGUUUGAAAACAUAUCCCUGGAAUGCUUUGUUAACACACCCUAAACCAUGACCCCAGUUGGAACACUACAAUCGUAAAGAAAAAAUAAACUAGAAAGCACAGUUGAACAGAUAAAAUUACAAGGAGCAUAGAUUAGGAAACUAGGUAAUAAUUUAUGCAUUAGCUCUAGUUGUUGAUAUACAAUGGUGAACAAAUAUCUCAGACAGCAUCCAAUAAUAUUUUUCAUUAGAGUAGAAUGACUUAAUGGGCAUCUUGAAGUGUGUGGCUUCAUAUAGAUUUUAAUCAAUUUAUUUUGAUAAUAUGCAGCAAAUGAUAGUUACCAAAAUAUUACUUUUAGAGAAAAUGUUUAUUUCUACUCCAAAAUGGCUCUCCAUAACCAUUCAGACUGAAAUAAAGUUAAAUUUAUAUAGGCAGGAAUAAAUGUUAAAUAGAAACACAUAAACGAAAAUUUGUCAUCAUAGGAAGAGGAGGUAAUAUUGGCAAAAUUCUCUGUUGGCUCCUUAUUCAUAUAUCAAACAGAUUUGGUUUUGUCUAGUUAAAAAAAGUACAAUACAGUAAAAUGAUUUCUUGCCCAGAAACUCUUAUGAUGGGGCAGGAUUCUAAUAGGUGAUGGUAACCGAGUCAUGAUCACAUACCUACAUUAUUUGGACUACCACAAUGAACUAUUGAAGAUGACCCAGAAGUUCUAAAUAUGCAGUGGAUAAGUCAAACUCCAUCCUUUGAAAAUAACUCAUCCAUUACAAGAAGUCCCAUUGAAUUCAAAUCUACAAGUUGCCAAAAUCAUAUCUGCUCACCUUGUCUGGUUAUCUAGUGAGGAGGCAAUAGUGGUCACUCCUCCUCAUGAAGUUUUUGGGGCAGAGAUCAAGUAACAGAUCUUCCCAGAGGUAGUCCUACUUUUAUCGGAUAUUCUGCAGUCUGGAAGUGCAGGCAGCCUCUACACUACAUGCAUUUCUAAAAUUAAGCAAAGAGUGUUGUUCCAAUUAGCCCUUACUUUAGUUUAACUGAAUAGUACUUACAAUUUGCUAUUGGUAUUAACUGUAAUCUUUAAUACAUUUGGACUGUGGCCACACAUUUGUUAUGAGGCAUCCACAACAAUUCAUUUUUCCAUGUUGCAUCACUGUUGUAUAUCUUGGAUAGACCGUAUAAGAAAUUCUCUCACUAGCAUCUACUGAAGAACUUCCAGAACGCUUGUAGACCUGAUUUUCUCCAACCAAGAUCUUGUCACUUGUGAAACUUCAUUAUCAGCUCAUAAAAUGUCUUUUGAGCCCUUUUGCUUAGCCAUCUGCUUCUUUCUCUUUCUCCCAGUGACUAGGGAGAAAUGACAUGGUACUUUUCAGAGUUUACAACUGCUGCCAAAUUCCAGCAUUUUUCCAUUUCAAUGUGUGAGUUCGUUUUGGAUAAUAAGCUUUUAGAGUUUUUUUUUUAAAAAAGCUGAUUUUAGUAAUUAUCUAUCAAAUUUCUCUCUGAAGCAGUCAGUUUUGUAAGACUGUAUUCACACCUUUGUCACUUAUGAUCUGGUAAUGAAACAGAAUGGUACUACCAAAGAUAUUUCCUUUAAGAUUGCUUCAUUUAUAUUCUGGAAGAUAAAAGCUGCACACAUUUAAGUCUUCCUGCCUUUUAUCUUCACAGAAAUAAAGUGUGAACAAAUUGCCUUGGGACUGUUUGUCUUGAAAGUCAGUUUUAAACUGUCUUAAACAUUACAAUAUAAAGGAAUACAAGCAAAAACUAUCAUUAAAUAUGCAAUGGACCAUCUUAAAUGUUCAAUAGUAAAUGUUAAAUUUCUUAUUGAAAGAAUCCAAUAGUCUCAAAAAUACAUUAUACUGAUAUUAUAUUGAUAUUAGAAAGCUAGUACAAUAGAACAGAACAAGAAAAAAUAAACUCAUUGGUUGUGCCAUGAACAAUAGUAAACUGUUAUGAAAACCACUCAAAACAAAAUGUUUCUUUACAGGAUUACUGUAUUAUUGCUCUCCCUUUGCUUAGCUUUGAACAAUCUCUUUAAUUUUUCAGACAAUAAAUAUGAGAGAAACAUAAUCAAGCUUGAAAUAUUAGAAUAUGAACAUUUUAUCCAGCCUUGACAUUACUGGAGGAACAACUAAGUCUACUCUAAUGAAUUAAUUCUGGAGGAGGUUUACAGUUCAUUGCUUGAGUAAACCAAACAGAACCUAAACACUGUAAUAAUUUAAAAAGUGUUCUGUAUCUGGUUACACUACUUUACCUUCUGAAGAAUCUGUCUGAGUGGCUAAUGACAACAUAACUUAAAAUGAGUUUUUAAAAAAUGAGCUAAUAUAAAUUAAAGCCUGAAAAAGGA